ACACGACUACAUUAGAUACCCCCGUAGUCCCAGCCGUAAACUAUGCUCGCUAGGUGUCAGGGACGGUGCGACCGUUUCUGGUGCCGCAGGGAAGCCGUGAAGCGAGCCACCUGGGAAGUACGGCCGCAAGGCUGAAACUUAAAGGAAUUGGCGGGGGAGCACAACAACGGGUGGAGCUUGCGGUUUAAUUGGAUUCAACGCCGGAAAUCUUACCGGGACCGACAGCAACAUGAAGGCCAAGCUGAAGACUUUGCCGGAUUAGCUG
rnacentral:rRNA from 1 species